GUGAGGUAAUGGCUCACCAAGGCAUCGACGGGUAGCUGGUCUGAGAGGAUGAUCAGCCACACUGGGACUGAGACACGGCCCAGACUCCUACGGGAGGCAGCAGUGGGGAAUCUUGCACAAUGGGCGCAAGCCUGAUGCAGCAACGCCGCGUGCGGGAAGAAGGCCUUAGGGUUGUAAACCGCUUUCGGUAGGGAAGAAAAUGACGGUACCUACAGAAGAAGGUGCGGCCAACUACGUGCCAGCAGCCGCGGUAACACGUAGGCACCAAGCGUUAUCCGGAUUUAUUGGGCGUAAAGAGCUCGUAGGCGGUUCAGUCAGUCGGGUGUGAAAACUUGAGGCUUAACCUCAAGAGGUCACUCGAUACUACUGUGACUAGAGUGCGGUAGGGGAGCGGGGAAUUCCUGGUGUAGCGGUGAAAUGCGCAGAUAUCAGGAGGAACACCAGUGGCGAAGGCGCCGCUCUGGCCGUAACUGACGCUGAGGAGCGAAAGCAUGGGUAGCGAACAGGAUUAGAUACCCUGGUAGUCCAUGCCGUAAACGUUGGGCACUAGGUGUGGGUCUCAACCAACGAGAUCCGCGCCGUCGCUAACGCAUUAAGUG
rnacentral:rRNA from 1 species